AGUCGAGCGGUAGAGAGGUGCUUGCACCUCUUGAGAGCGGCGGACGGGUGAGUAAAGCCUAGGAAUCUGCCUGGUAGUGGGGGAUAACGCUCGGAAACGGACGCUAAUACCGCAUACGUCCUACGGGAGAAAGCAGGGGACCUUCGGGCCUUGCGCUAUCAGAUGAGCCUAGGUCGGAUUAGCUAGUUGGUGAGGUAAUGGCUCACCAAGGCGACGAUCCGUAACUGGUCUGAGAGGAUGAUCAGUCACACUGGAACUGAGACACGGUCCAGACUCCUACGGGAGGCAGCAGUGGGGAAUAUUGGACAAUGGGCGAAAGCCUGAUCCAGCCAUGCCGCGUGUGUGAAGAAGGUCUUCGGAUUGUAAAGCACUUUAAGUUGGGAGGAAGGGCAUUAACCUAAUACGUUAGUGUUUUGACGUUACCGAGGGAAUAAGCACCGGCUAACUCUGUGCCAGCAGCCGCGGUAAUACAGAGGGUGCAAGCGUUAAUCGGAAUUACUGGGCGUAAAGCGCGCGUAGGUGGUUCGUUAAGUUGGAUGUGAAAUCCCCGGGCUCAACCUGGGAACUGCAUUCAAAACUGUCGAGCUAG
rnacentral:rRNA from 1 species